rnacentral:tRNA from 1 species
GCCGGGGUGAUGGAACCGGUAGACAUGGUCGCCUCAAAAGCGACUGCGCGUGAGCGCGUGCGGGUUCGAGUCCCGCCCCCGGCA